CUUCGGCUGCGGCGACAGUGAGACGAGGGGUGCACAGAAUCAAAGCUGAGGUCGUGGAGGGGUACAGGAUACAGAGUGCUCUAGACGACUUGUUUUAGAGAGUUCCUUCCCUGUGGCUCUCCCUUACAGAGCCCAGGAAAUGUCUAGCCUCCAGCAGUAGGGAACAGGUAUUUGGUAACCUGAGCCAAAGAGUUAAGUUUCAAAAUCUAAAAUCCUCAUGGAAAGGGAUUUUGUAGCUUGUUUUUCCCUCCACACUGGAGUAAUAGAUGGAUAAACCCCACGAGGGUAUGUUAGAGAGUAAAUUCAAACAGCUUUUCAUAUUGGGUAUUAACUGUGGGUAAUUUACAAAGUGUCUCGAGCAACCGCAAAUUGAAACGGGCAGUGAAUUUAAGGUCUCUUUAGCAAAAAUCAAUCUCACAUCAUGGCAGUUCUCCUACACUCUGGUCUCUCAUUUGACAGAUCACUUCCUCAUGAGGAUGAGUAAUAACAACCAGCACAACGCCCUUUACACUGAAGGAGCACUUUCUGUCCCCUGGUGUUAAAGUGCUUGAGCAGCAGUCAACACGCACCCCACUACUUGUUUUCACUCCACGCCAGCAAGCAGCCUGCACCCACCAGCACUGCUGUUUACUCUUGGCUUCUUGGUAGAGACGUGUUGAGAGCCCUGGCUACGUCUGCACAAGGUCAGUGGCUGAAGGAGAAAUCGUCGUUCAUUUGGCUUCCCACAGGGCAGGACUUGGCAAAUUACUGGCUGUCUCCUACCGUUACACCUCGAGGGUGGGUAACGACGCACAUCAAGGACAAUCCCAAAGAAUACGUUUAUGCUUUCUGUGACUGAAUGAUUUUUGAAAAAUGAUCAGUCCCAAUCUGCACGCGUCGAUGCCGCCUAACUCCUUGUUAUUUCUGGCUGUGCAGGAUUUAUACUCCUUGAAGAGUGAGAAGCGAAAGCUCACUACCGUGGGGCCCUCUGCAGGACAGGUCUGCAUCUUACUCAUGUGUGGCUCCCGACUUACCUGCACUGUGUCAGGAGGACAUACGUGAAAGGUAACUAAUGCACGCUUCAUGAACGAGUCAAGGUCCUUUUAAGGUAGAGAGCAGUCCGCCAGAGAGCAGCAGGACUAGUGGGGGCUUAAAAACUGUGAAAUUCCCAAAGUCUACUGCUAGACUGACUGCUGCUAACACAGCCACGUCCUCUGACCCUGCAGAACACGUGAUAGUAACAUCUACCAACCACGGAAAAGAGAGCUUCAGGAAUAGAAUUCGGGUGGGGACAAAUGUAUGGAGAAGAAUGCAUCAGGUCGGGACAGAGGACGUGUGUGUUUGCAAGGACGAACGUGUCCACCUGCAUGUGCAGGAACGCUGUGAGAGGGAAUCCAUUUGGUUUUCAAAAAACAUUCAGCACAGAAUAAACAUGGUAAGUACUGUUUUUCACUUCUCUAAACAAAUGUUUAGCAUUUGGAUCUCAGUAUCUAAUGUUC